GGCAGAAGAUUCCCUCUAAACUGCUUUUUCUUUGUCUGUUUGCACUGCAGAAGAUUCACUCUCUGCUGCACAAGAUUCCCUAUGUACUGCUUUUUCUUUGCUUUUUUCAGAAACACCCUGUCUAGAUUCCUUUACCUCUUGUGUACUCCCACCACUUUGUUCCCCAUUUGGGUCUUCAUUGAGCUCUUCUAUCAUAACACUUUUUUUUAAAAAAAUUUAAAUUUUAUGUUGUCUCCAUUGUUUGCAUUUCCCACCAAUAAGAGCAAUAACCCCAUAAUUGUCAUCAAGCUCCUCAAUCACAACUUCUUUGUUAUGCAAAAUAUCAGCUUCUAAAUCAACAAAUAGAUUUGAUCUUGAUUGACUACAACACCAAUCCUCAUUACUAUCAACCCCAUGAUGCAGGAAGAUGUCUAUUAGCCUUGUCUCUGGUACAAAUACAAGCAUGUCUAUGACAUCUUGAUCAUCAUUAAGCUUGGUUAGGCCACCAUUGCUAUAGGUAGGGAUACUAUACCAGUAACUAAUCACCCCAUCAUAGCCUAACUCCCUUACCAUAUUGUCUAUCUCAAUCAUUGACAUUCUAUCAUUGUCACAAUAAUAAAACCAAGCUACAUUGCCACAAGCAUAACAGUUACC
rnacentral:lncRNA from 1 species